UACGGGGGGUGCGAGCGUUGUCCGGAAUCACUGGGCGUAAAGGGCGCGUAGGUGGUUUGAUAAGGGUGUGGUGAAAGUCCGGGGCUCAACCCCCGGAUCUGGCCGUGCCGACUGUCAAACUCGAGGGCUGUAGAGGCAGACGGAAUUCCGGGUGUAGCGGUGGAAUGCGUAGAGAUGUGGAGGAACACCAAUGGCGAAGGCAGCCUUCUGGGCCAACACUGACGCUCAUGCACGAAAGCGUGGGGAGCAAACAGG
rnacentral:rRNA from 1 species